UUAAGCGACUAAGCGUACACGGUGGAUGCCCUGGCAGUCAGAGGCGAUGAAGGACGUGCUAAUCUGCGAUAAGCGUCGGUAAGGUGAUAUGAACCGUUAUAACCGGCGAUUUCCGAAUGGGGAAACCCAGUGUGAUUCGUCACACUAUCAUUAACUGAAUCCAUAGGUUAAUGAGGCGAACCGGGGGAACUGAAACAUCUAAGUACCCCGAGGAAAAGAAAUCAACCGAGAUUCCCCCAGUAGCGGCGAGCGAACGGGGAGCAGCCCAGAGCCUGAAUCAGUGUGUGUGUUAGUGGAAGCGUCUGGAAAGGCGCGCGAUACAGGGUGACAGCCCCGUACACAAAAAUGCACAUAUUGUGAGCUCGAUGAGUAGGGCGGGACACGUGGUAUCCUGUCUGAAUAUGGGGGGCCCAUCCUCCAAGGCUAAAUACUCCUGACUGACCGAUAGUGAACCAGUACCGUGAGGGAAAGGCGAAAAGAACCCCGGCGAGGGGAGUGAAAAAGAACCUGAAACCGUGUACGUACAAGCAGUGGGAGCACGCUUAGGCGUGUGACUGCGUACCUUUUGUAUAAUGGGUCAGCGACUUAUAUUCUGUAGCAAGGUUAACCGAAUAGGGGAGCCGAAGGGAAACCGAGUCUUAACUGGGCGUUAAGUUGCAGGGUAUAGACCCGAAACCCGGUGAUCUAGCCAUGGGCAGGUUGAAGGUUGGGUAACACUAACUGGAGGACCGAACCGACUAAUGUUGAAAAAUUAGCGGAUGACUUGUGGCUGGGGGUGAAAGGCCAAUCAAACCGGGAGAUAGCUGGUUCUCCCCGAAAGCUAUUUAGGUAGCGCCUCGUGAAUUCAUCUCCGGGGGUAGAGCACUGUUUCGGCAAGGGGGUCAUCCCGACUUACCAACCCGAUGCAAACUGCGAAUACCGGAGAAUGUUAUCACGGGAGACACACGGCGGGUGCUAACGUCCGUCGUGAAGAGGGAAACAACCCAGACCGCCAGCUAAGGUCCCAAAGUCAUGGUUAAGUGGGAAACGAUGUGGGAAGGCCCAGACAGCCAGGAUGUUGGCUUAGAAGCAGCCAUCAUUUAAAGAAAGCGUAAUAGCUCACUGGUCGAGUCGGCCUGCGCGGAAGAUGUAACGGGGCUAAACCAUGCACCGAAGCUGCGGCAGCGACGCUUAUGCGUUGUUGGGUAGGGGAGCGUUCUGUAAGCCUGCGAAGGUGUGCUGUGAGGCAUGCUGGAGGUAUCAGAAGUGCGAAUGCUGACAUAAGUAACGAUAAAGCGGGUGAAAAGCCCGCUCGCCGGAAGACCAAGGGUUCCUGUCCAACGUUAAUCGGGGCAGGGUGAGUCGACCCCUAAGGCGAGGCCGAAAGGCGUAGUCGAUGGGAAACAGGUUAAUAUUCCUGUACUUGGUGUUACUGCGAAGGGGGGACGGAGAAGGCUAUGUUGGCCGGGCGACGGUUGUCCCGGUUUAAGCGUGUAGGCUGGUUUUCCAGGCAAAUCCGGAAAAUCAAGGCUGAGGCGUGAUGACGAGGCACUACGGUGCUGAAGCAACAAAUGCCCUGCUUCCAGGAAAAGCCUCUAAGCAUCAGGUAACAUCAAAUCGUACCCCAAACCGACACAGGUGGUCAGGUAGAGAAUACCAAGGCGCUUGAGAGAACUCGGGUGAAGGAACUAGGCAAAAUGGUGCCGUAACUUCGGGAGAAGGCACGCUGAUAUGUAGGUGAAGUCCCUUGCGGAUGGAGCUGAAAUCAGUCGAAGAUACCAGCUGGCUGCAACUGUUUAUUAAAAACACAGCACUGUGCAAACACGAAAGUGGACGUAUACGGUGUGACGCCUGCCCGGUGCCGGAAGGUUAAUUGAUGGGGUCAGCGCAAGCGAAGCUCUUGAUCGAAGCCCCGGUAAACGGCGGCCGUAACUAUAACGGUCCUAAGGUAGCGAAAUUCCUUGUCGGGUAAGUUCCGACCUGCACGAAUGGCGUAAUGAUGGCCAGGCUGUCUCCACCCGAGACUCAGUGAAAUUGAACUCGCUGUGAAGAUGCAGUGUACCCGCGGCAAGACGGAAAGACCCCGUGAACCUUUACUAUAGCUUGACACUGAACAUUGAGCCUUGAUGUGUAGGAUAGGUGGGAGGCUUUGAAGUGUGGACGCCAGUCUGCAUGGAGCCGGCCUUGAAAUACCACCCUUUAAUGUUUGAUGUUCUAACGUGGACCCGUGAUCCGGGUUGCGGACAGUGUCUGGUGGGUAGUUUGACUGGGGCGGUCUCCUCCUAAAGAGUAACGGAGGAGCACGAAGGUUGGCUAAUCCUGGUCGGACAUCAGGAGGUUAGUGCAAUGGCAUAAGCCAGCUUGACUGCGAGCGUGACGGCGCGAGCAGGUGCGAAAGCAGGUCAUAGUGAUCCGGUGGUUCUGAAUGGAAGGGCCAUCGCUCAACGGAUAAAAGGUACUCCGGGGAUAACAGGCUGAUACCGCCCAAGAGUUCAUAUCGACGGCGGUGUUUGGCACCUCGAUGUCGGCUCAUCACAUCCUGGGGCUGAAGUAGGUCCCAAGGGUAUGGCUGUUCGCCAUUUAAAGUGGUACGCGAGCUGGGUUUAGAACGUCGUGAGACAGUUCGGUCCCUAUCUGCCGUGGGCGCUGGAGAACUGAGGGGGGCUGCUCCUAGUACGAGAGGACCGGAGUGGACGCAUCACUGGUGUUCGGGUUGUCAUGCCAAUGGCACUGCCCGGUAGCUAAAUGCGGAAGAGAUAAGUGCUGAAAGCAUCUAAGCACGAAACUUGCCCCGAGAUGAGUUCUCCCUGACCCUUUAAGGGUCCUGAAGGAACGUUGAAGACGACGACGUUGAUAGGCCGGGUGUGUAAGCGCAGCGAUGCGUUGAGCUAACCGGUACUAAUGAACCGUGAGGCUUAACCUU
rnacentral:rRNA from 6 species